rnacentral:rRNA from 1 species
AAUGAACGCUGGCGGUAGGCCUAACACAUGCAAGUCGAACGCCAGCACAUUAAGAAUUUGCUGUUAAGGGUGGCGAGUGGCGGACGGGUGCUGCCUACCUCGGUGUCUUCUUUUUCGUGGUGGUUUACGUAGUGAAUCUUACGCUAAUACCUCAUACGACCUACGGUUGAAAUCAGUGGAUCUUCGGCCCUUGUGCGAUUGGAUAGUCCGAUAGCGGAUUACUUAGUUAGCGGGGUAAAGGUCCACCAGGCCGACGAUCCGUAGCUGGUCAGAGAGGAUGAUCAGCCACACUGGAACUGAGACACGCUCCAGACUCCUACGGGAGGCAGCAGCGGGGAAUAUUCGACAAGGGGCGGAAGCCUGAUCCAGCCAUAGCGCGUGGGUGAAGAAGGCCUUCGGGUUGUAAAGCACGUUUGUUGGGAAAGAAAAGCAGCAGGUUAAUACUCCGAUGUUCUGACGGUAGCCAAAGAAUAAGCACCGGCUAACUUCGUG